CUUCAGGCAGGCGGGCGCCCAGCUGAUGGGCCAGCCGUACACGCACGGCACAUGUGUCUUCACGUUCCUCUCCAUGAAGUUGAACAGCGGGUUCCAAAAGGGAUUGCUGAGUCCGGUCGUUGUGGAACCGUGAUACCCACAUGCGUGUUGGCCAUGCUGUGGUACCACCAGAAGAGUCUCGUUGUGACAAAGUAGGCCACCACCACAUCCACGCUGUAGUGCUCGCGUGCCACCAGGAUGCACACCACGCCCACGGCGCUCAGCAACCAGCACAUCAGGUGGUACCACCAGAACGAGCGAGGGGAGUCUGCGGGGAAAGCCCGUCGCACAGCAAAAGAGAAGUGGUGAUGUGCAUACCAGGUACAGGCAGGACGGUGAUGUACAUGGUGAUGCAGCGGUACAAGUACAAGGUCCCCACCAGGAAGAAGUAGCGUCGGCAUACUAUGGACCUGCAACAUAUACAUUAGUAAGCAGACCUCCAACAUCUGGGAGUUCACAGAGGAAUUACAAGAGCGAUGCAGCAUUUCAAAGGUUGAGAUGUUUCCAUUUUAAAAGGUUGUUUGGAUGGCUACUCAUCUGAUCAAUACUAACAACGUAGUUUAUAAUGUAAUAUAAUCUAUACAUCAAUAUUGAUUGUUACACAAUAUGUUUAUGUGGGGACACAAAGUUCAAUUAUGUUCUCAUGUCAUGAUAAAAGGAGCAAUGGGAGAAAUAUGGACUAUUGACCAUAUAGAGACCACAAGGGAAUUCAGUUUUGAUUGAAACGUGGACUGUAGCUACAUUGUUUUGAUUUAUAUGAUAACGGGAAAGGUUCUUAUAUUCGCAUUCAUAAUUUGCAUUUCAAUUUGAUUCGUAAAUUUUCAUUCAGCCCAAAUAUUAGAAAAUGUUCACACAAGCAUGGGGAGAA